AGGAAGCAUGCAUUUAUUAUACAUAACAAGACGUGAAAGCCGCAAGAGUUUCAGCCUAAACACUGAAGACCCCGCGAAGUGAAUCCAGCUGCUGCUCUACAAGCAGCAACAACAACUGGGAAGCCUUCUCAGCUACACUUCGGGGCACUGGUCCAACCCCACGCAAAAUCCCUCGUUUCCCUUAGCGUGCAGAACCACGGGCACGGUGAUGAUGGUGACAAGCGCAGCAGCACCCAGCAGUCCCAGAAGAACCUUCCACGGUGUCUGCAAGCCGAGCAGAUCAAGUCCAAUUAGAGGGAAGCGUGUGGCCCCAGUUUCCGUAGGAGGGUCGGGGCUGCUCCAGAGGCAGCAGGAUUUGCAGCUUUUGGGCCAUUUGGGGAGUUUGGCGAAGAGGUCCCCACAGCUCGCCCCGGGGACGUACGUGGCGCGGCACUCACCUUCAUCGUCGGCGUCUCCUCGGAAGUGAGCGUUCAGAGAAGGAGCGCAGGCAGAAGUCACCGCGGGCGGCGGAGACGCGCGUCCUGCACCGCUGCUCCGGGCGGUGGAGUCACUCGCCGCUGGAAGGAAGACUGUACACAGAGAAUAAAUAACUUGGCCAAGCCAUUCAGCUAGGAAGUUGUAGAUCCUAAAUUAAGAGUUCAAGGUCUUAAUGGCUACUCUAUGCGGCCUCUCAUAGUCUUUUCAAGGGUUUUGGAGAAGAAUAAAAGAUCAGGCAUUGCUUUUGAACUCAGUCAUCUUUUCCCCCUUGCCCACUAGUUGCUUGUGAUACAUCAGUAUCCUCACUCACCCCCAACUCCAGAGGCUGAAACUAACUCUCCUCCUCCCUCUUCCAACUGCUGAGGAAGAUGAGUCAAUGGUGUUACUGGACCCUGUGAACUGAUGCUGUGAAGAGAGGCCAUUUAACACGGACUACGGGGAAUGGUGCCACAGGGGGCUCAGUGCUGCCCUUCACUCUCAGCAUUUUGCUCACUCAGCAUUGGUAAGCCACAUCAGCCUCGGUGAAGGAAGUCUGGAGAGUUAAGCCUGUGCUUCAUCUCCAUGCCAGCACCAUGGCACUCAUUGUACAUUCAGCAAGCCCCAAGGAAGCUGGCAGGAGGCUGGCUGACAUCUACGGGACAGGUCAAUUUGUUCUCUGGAGGGCACUCCAUGAGACGCAAAUAUCUUCACACCCUGUGCCCAUUUCAAGAGACUCUCUCACAUGCCUCCCCCACCUUGACCUCUGUGUCACCAGUCUUUCAAUCUUGUUUUUUCCAAAUCCUUAAGGUAGCAGCUGGCCAACACAUUAGCCACCACUGAUGAGUCAGUGUAGAUCUUACAUUGGGCCAUCUCUUUUUUCUUGCAAAAUAGAAAAGCAGAUGUUCUGCUCAAAGUUCUGUUUGUCAGUAAGAUUUCCCUUUCUGCUGUGUUUCAGGACAUCCCUGGGAGGGACUCUGAUGCAGCAGCCAUCUACUUAUUGCUAGUGCCAGCUUACUUUGCAUAACAUUGACUCCUUUCCCUCAUCUGUUGCCUAGUUGUAGGAAACUCCUUGUGAAGCUAUAGGUGUGCACUGAGGGAGAGACAUUGAGUCAAUGGGAGCAGGCAUCAUAGAGUCUAAGUUUUCUGCUAGUCUGAGUUUCUUGUGCCUUGUGGACCUGGUGGGCUUAUCUCCUUUAUCAUAUAGAUACAAUUUUCGCUUAAUAAUAGCAUGCUCCUGCAAAUGCCCAAUUUUAUCAUGUGGUAGAUUAGGCAACACUCAGUUUAUUAGGGUAGCUAGGUUGUGCAGUUACUUGAUGUUAUGGAUUGAAUUGUGUCCCUCCAAAAGAUAUAUUAGAAUCCCAACCUUUAGGACUUCAGAGUGUGACAUUAUUUGAAUAUAGGGUCUUUACAGAGUUAAUCAAUUUUUUUGAAUCUUAUAUAGCUUUUAUUUCAG
rnacentral:lncRNA from 1 species